rnacentral:rRNA from 1 species
CCUACGGGUGGCAGCAGUGGGGAAUAUUGGUCAAUGGGCGUAAGCCUGAUCCAGCAAAGUCGCGUGAGGGAUGAAGGUUCUCUGGAUCGUAAACCUCUUUUAUAAGGGAAUAAAGUGCGGGACGUGUCCCGUAUUGUAUGUACCUUAUGAAUAAGGAUCGGCUAACUCCGUGCCAGCAGCCGCGGUAAUCCGGAGGGUCCGAGCGUUAUCCGGAUAUCUGGGGUUUAAAGGGUGCGUAGGCGGCCUUUUAAGUCAGAGGUGAAAGUCUGUGGCUCAACCAUAGAAUUGCCGUUGAAACUGGGAGGCUUGAGUAUGGUUGAGGCAGGCGGAAUGCGUGGUGUAGCGGUGAAAUGCGUAGAUAUCACGCAGAACCCCGAUUGCGAAGGCAGCCUUCCAAGCCAUGACUGACGCUGAUGCACGAAAGCGUGGGGAGCAAACAGGAUUAGAUACCCCGGUAGUC